ACUGUAAAGUAAAACUGAAACUACCCUCUCUUUCGAGACAAACGUCAAAAUUCGAUGGCAGUUUUUCUCAUUCCCCUUCUCGCUUUUGCAACCGUGUUCAAUCGUUUGCUCGAGAAGCCUUCCGCCAAAUUAUUUAGCAAGCAAGGGUCGCCAUGUUCGUCGGUUCGCGUGUGCGUUUAAAUGUUUUGCGUUUUGUUUAUUUAUUUUAGCGUCAAAUUAAUGAGCAGAACGACACUACUACCGGAAUGGGAAUUAAAAUAGUUGCGGCCGCAACAUGCAUUAUCAUUCGGGCAAUCAUCACCACACCACCAUCAUCAAUAACAGAAAUAUCUCAGUACCAGCUUCAUUGGUGAACUGAUUUGGAAGUGAUUGGGCGGCGUUCGUAUUUUCCGUUUAUUCUUCCCGAAUAAAUGUGUGUUUUGGUUUUGCCAAAGUGUGCGGAAACAUGGCCAAAAUCACCUGCAGAUGGUCCCGGAAGUGGAAAGCAGCGACUUUUUUCGUUUUUGUGAUGGAGCCCGGAUACGAUUCUUUUAGAUUUACUGGAAAUGAAAUCAGGGCUCGUUUACGGCUACACAGAAAAAAAUAAUGACUAUUACAUGUCAUUGAAAUCGAUUGCCUGUAAAACAAAACAACCUGUAAUCCAAAAUACAGGUAAAAACCCGUGUGUCUCAAAGCGGAAGGAUUUAUCAACACGCUCUAUGGUUCACCUUAAAUCUGGUGGAUUCGUUCAAACAUUCAAACAUUAAAUAACAAAAUUGUUGUUUUGAUUGACGAAGUUCAUUUUGUUUUACUACCAAUGCGCCACUCGGGUACAGGCACAUUCAGUACUGUUUUGUAAACGCCAGUCGUAUUGAUGUUUGCCGAACUUUUUUAUUAUUGCAUAAUAAAACUUCAUACCAAAGUAUUGAAAAAUAGUGAAUAAUAGUUGCGCAUUAG